UACGAAGGGGAGCUAGCGUUGCUCGGAAUCACUGGGCGUAAAGCGCACGUAGGCGGAUUGUUAAGUCAGGGGUGAAAUCCUGGAGCUCAACUCCAGAACUGCCUUUGAUACUGGCGAUCUCGAGUCCGGGAGAGGUGAGUGGAACUGCGAGUGUAGAGGUGAAAUUCGUAGAUAUUCGCAAAGAACACCAGUGGCGAAGGCGGCUCACUGGCCCGGUACUGACGCUGAGGUGCGAAAGCGUGGGAGCAAACAGG
rnacentral:rRNA from 1 species